CUGUAAUAUCACACCACCAGACUGACUUGGAUUCAAGACACAGAUGAAGGCACCAGCAGAAAUCCAUUAAACACCCCAAGCAAGGCUCUGCGGGCCGCAUGUGGCACCCCGGGCCUGAGUUUGCCCACCUCUGAUGCAGAGGAACAAGGUGAACAGGGUUUGCCAUCUCUCUGCAAUCGACUCAUCAAUGAGAACGUGUUGAGAGCUGAAGAAAACCACAGGGAUUCCUGGAAUCAUCUUUUGGACUGGCAAGAGGGAAUUGGAAAUGAUAGUCUACAGCAGUGGUUCUUAACCUUUUUUCUUAGCGCACCCCCUUUCCUGUGCCGAAGACAAGCCGCGCACCCCCAACACAAACUUCUAUAUCAGUGCGUAUAUGCACUAAAAGAUGAUAAAUGAGUGAUUAUUUACAAUGAUUCUCGCUUGAGACAUGAAUCAAUUCCUUGACUUUAAAUGGGGAGCAAAACUUGUUUAAUUUGGACUUAAUUUGCCUAAUUAUAAUGUUUGCAAGUAUAGUUUUGGUCACAACCUCUACACAAACAAAAUUCCGUGCACCCCCUGGAAUCUCUGGAUCACGCCCAGAGGG